UACGUAGGGGGCAAGCGUUGUCCGGAUUUAUUGGGCGUAAAGAGCGUGUAGGCGGCCACACAGGUCUGCUGUGAAAACUCGAGGCUCAACCUCGAGCUGUCGGUGGAAACCGUGUGGCUAGAGUCCGGAAGAGGAGAGUGGAAUUCCUGGUGUAGCGGUGAAAUGCGCAGAUAUCAGGAAGAACACCCGUGGCGAAGGCGGCUCUCUGGGACGGUACUGACGCUGAGGUGCGAAAGCGUGGGGAGCAAACAGG
rnacentral:rRNA from 1 species